rnacentral:rRNA from 1 species
CCUACGGGCGGCAGCAGUGGGGAAUAUUGCGCAAUGGGCGAAAGCCUGACGCAGCGACGCCGCGUGAGGGAUGAAGGUCUUCGGAUCGUAAACCUCUGUCAGCAGGGAAGAACGGUCACUGUGCUAAUCAGCAGUGAAUUGACGGUACCUGCAAAGGAAGCACCGGCUAACUCCGUGCCAGCAGACGCGGUAAUACGGAGGGUGCGAGCGUUCAUCGGAAUUACUGGGCGUAAAGCGCUCGUAGGCGGUAUGUCAAGUCAAGGGUGAAAUCCCCGCGCUCAACGUGGGAACUGCCUUUGAAACUGGCAAACUGGAGUGUGUGAGAGGAUAGUGGAAGUCCAGGUGUAGGAGUGAAAGCCGUAGAUAUCUGGAGGAACAUCAGUGGCGAAGGCGACUAUCUGGCACAUAACUGACGCUGAGGAGCGAAAGCGUGGGUAGCAAACAGGAUUAGAUACCCCAGUAGUC